rnacentral:rRNA from 1 species
AGAUAAUGGUUAACAGGAACAGCUGGGGGCACUCGUAUCGCUGCGCGAGAGGUGAAAUUCGUGGACCGCAGCGAGACGCCCGAAAGCGAAGGCAUUUGCCAAGAGUGUUUUCAUUAAUCAAGAACGAAAGUCAGAGGUUCGAAGGCGAUUAGAUACCGCCCUAGUUCUGACCGUAAACGAUGCCAACUAUCAAUCCGCCAGUGGCUUUCAGUCAUUGGCGGGCGGAUCGACGGAAACGAAAGUUUUUCGGUUCCGGGGGAAGUAUGGUUGCAAAGCUGAAACUUAAAGGAAUUGACGGAAGGGCACCACCAGGAGUGGAGCUUGCGGCUUAAUUUGACUCAACACGGGAAACCUCACCCGGCCAGUACAUCAUAAGGAUUGACAGAUUGAAAGCUCUUUCAUGAUUUGAUGAAUGGUGGUGCAUGGCCGUUCUUAGUUCGUGGCGUGAGUCGUCUGCUUAAUUGCGAUAACGAGCGAGACUCCGACUGCUAAAUACCCCGGUCAUCAUCAAGUGGCCAGGGGUUCUUAGCUGGAUUUGUGACUUGAAGUCUCAAGAAAUGGAGCAAUAACAGGUCUGUGAUGCCCUUAGAUGUUCGGGGCCGCACGCGUGCUACAAUGGUGGUAACAGCGUGAUUGUCCUCGCCCGACAGGGCUUGGCAAACAGUUGAGAUAUUAUUAUGGCUGGAAUUGAGUGUUGAAAUUUUCUCUCAUGAACGAGGAAUUCCAAGUAAAUGCGAGUCAUCAACUUGCAUUGAUUACGUCCCUGCCCUUUGUACACACCGCCCGUCGCUACCCGGGACUGAGUUGUUUCGAGAAAUCCCCGAAUCGGACACUCACGUGUCUGAGAAGUGGAUUAAUCGCAGUGGCUGGGAACCAGA